AGUGAACGCUGGCGGUAGGCCUAACACAUGCAAGUCGAACGGCAGCACAGUAAGAGCUUGCUCUUACGGGUGGCGAGUGGCGGACGGGUGAGGAAUACAUCGGAAUCUACUUUUUCGUGGGGGAUAACGUAGGGAAACUUACGCUAAUACCGCAUACGACCUACGGGUGAAAGCAGGGGAUCUUCGGACCUUGCGCGAUUGAAUGAGCCGAUGUCGGAUUAGCUAGUUGGCGGGGUAAAGGCCCACCAAGGCGACGAUCCGUAGCUGGUCUGAGAGGAUGAUCAGCCACACUGUAACUGAGACACGGUCCAGACUCCUACGGGAGGCAGCAGUGGGGAAUAUUGGACAAUGGGCGCAAGCCUGUUCCAGCCAUACCGCGUGGGUGAAGAAGGCCUUCGGGUUGUAAAGCCCUUUUGUUGGGAAAGAAAAGCAGCAGGUUAAUACCCCGCUGUUCUGACGGUACCCAAAGAAUAAGCACCGGCUAACUUCGUG
rnacentral:rRNA from 1 species